rnacentral:rRNA from 1 species
UACGAAGGGGGCUAGCGUUGCUCGGAAUUACUGGGCGUAAAGGGCGCGUAGGCGGAUGUCUAAGUCGGGGGGUGAAAAGCCCCAGGGCUCAACCCUGGAAAUUGCCCUUCGAUACUGGACAUCUUGAGUACGGGAGAGGUGAGUGGAACUCCGAGUGUAGAGGUGAAAUUCGUAGAUAUUCGGAAGAACACCAGUGGCGAAGGCGACUCACUGGCCCGUUACUGACGCUGAGGCGCGAAAGCGUGGGGAGCAAACAGG